AGGAAUGCUUCUUUGUCUCUGUGUGGUCUCUUCAGCAUAGCAACAGCAGCGUAGCUGAACAUCUUACGGAUGGCCCAGGGCUCCAAAGGCUCGUUUCCUAAGUGAGAGAGAGCCUGGCUGAAGCUGUAUUACCAUUCAUUCUCCAGCCUCCGAAGUCUCAAAGCAUCACUUCCACCAUACUCUAACUGUCAAGACAAACACAAAGGCCCAGAAACUGCCAGACUGUCUUCUGAAGUGGCUAUAAUAUUUACACUCCCAUCAGCAGUGUAGAAGGGGUCUCACUAUGUUGUCUGGAGUGCUGUGGUGGAGUGGAGUGGCUAUUCACAGAGCCUGUUCUGCUGGGACACAGAAUCACUUGCUCCAUCUCAUACAUUGAUGAUGAUUAAUUUGUAUGUGUACCUUCCAAAAAAGAUGGUUGUGUUUGAAUGGAGGCCUUCUGGACAGGAAAAUAUGGAGAGUGCGUGCUUUGGAUUCAAGACUGGGAAUGAGGGGACCAGAAACCUAUUCUGUGGCUGUUUCUUGUUAGGACUUUCCUAAGCCUCUGGAAAAGUGCAAAGUACAAUUAACAUUUGAGUCUGUCUGAGUCAUGAAGAAAUGGAGAUUACUGAAAAUAAUUCAUUUUGGUAUCUUCUUACAUCCUGAGAGACUAAUCUUUCCAAGUUCAUCUGAGGCUCCUCUUCUCCAUGACAACCUCAUCCAGGGAUUUCUUCCUGUCCUGGUGUUUUAUGACAUAAUCACAUCCUUCCUGAGAUAAUGAGCACACAAUUGCCUGGAUACCUGAAGGAAUGGAGACAGCGGCAGAAAACACUGCAGAGAGGUGGAAACAUCCGUUAAUAUUUUAAAAUCCCAUUACUGCUACCAACAAUAAUAAUGGAUGCAUAGAAAUAGAUCUGGAUUAGCUGAGCUUGAAACAGUCCAUCUCACACACACACAAAAGAAUUUCAGAUACAGUGAACCCACAUGUUGAAGCUUUCUAGUAUAAUAAAAAUUUCAACUGUUCUGUUGAAUCAUCUGCCUGAUUGGAGGCUACAGAAAAGAUGUCAUCUUAGGAGUGCUUGCUCUGAGUGAGGCUCAUCUUCAAAUCUGAAUGACCACAAGGAGAUUUGAUUAUACAUGUGAACACCUCAGAAGGCACAGCCCACCCAGAAGGCAGACAGGUCAGGCUGCUUUUUCUUCAUUGCUUGGAUUCAAUCCUCCGGGCGGCUCAGGCUCAAACAUAACUUAAGCAUGAUUAAACUUUAGAAGAAGCUGCCAGGAAGACUGUGAAAUCUUCAUGCCCAAGGAUCCCUAAAAUUAGGAGCAACAACCACUUGGCUCAGACGGUUUAUGGAGGCAAAGGUUUGGAUGGGAUUAGAGAUUUCUAAAUGUGAGUUCGUGUCCUCUGCCAGACCACCUUACUUCCACCAUUCCUCAGCAAAUCAAGAAAAACAGGAGAAAAGACAUGCCUUUCCAUAAGUUAAAUCUAUUCUGUUUUAAUUCUAUAUUAUAUCUGCUGUACAACUUCUUUUGUUUGUAACACCAUAUUGUUGCUAGUAACUGGAAAUUAAUUUUCACAUGCCUCAGCUUAGAAAAAUAAAAAGCAGCCCUGCAUCAAUCCCAA
ensembl:lncRNA LINC00635 long intergenic non-protein coding RNA 635